GUUGGCGUUGGCCGACCGCGAGGCAGGUGUCUUGCGAUGAUGCCGGUCUGGGCUGUCCGUCGGUUCGGCUUCGUCCGCCGGUUC
rnacentral:tRNA from 1 species